rnacentral:rRNA from 1 species
GGGCCCGCACAAGCAGUGGAGCAUGUGGUUUAAUUCGAUGAUACGCGAAGAACCUUACCUGGGCUCUAAUGCGAGUGACCGCUCCUGAAAGGGAGCUUUCCUUCGGGACACGAAGCAAGGUGCUGCAUGGUUGUCGUCAGCUCGUGCCGUGAGGUGUUGGGUUAAGUCCCGCAACGAGCGCAACCCCUAUCUUUAGUUGCCAGCGAUUCGGUCGGGGACUCUAGAGAGACUGCCUGCGCAAGCAGAGAGGAAGGCGGGGACGACGUCAAAUCAUCAUGGCCUUUAUGCCCAGGGCUACACACGUGCUACAAUGGUAAGGACAAAGGGCAGCGAGCCGGCGACGGUUAG